UCACAAUGAUGAUGAAUGGUCCAAACAUUCGCGGUUUCCACCAGAACGCAAGGCAGUGUUGGCAGUUACCUUCCUUGGAUGUCUGAGUGAC
rnacentral:sRNA from 1 species